rnacentral:rRNA from 1 species
GCGGUUUGCUUAUUGUCCGGAGCUUGGUCUAGGUGAGGUGUACCUUGGGAGCAGGUGUUCAGGAGGAGGGUCUGGUUGCGGCGGCGGCGGCGGCGGGGGUAGGCGGGAGGCGGGAGCUGGAGUAGGUGGUUGGACACGUUGGGGUAGCCCCAUGUGCGGGCAGCUGAGUAGCAACGGAAGGAAGCAGUGGCGGUGGCCCCGCCCAGUUGACGCGGCCACACCGCUCCGGCUUCAGUUGCAUCAGAGGGAACUAUGACACCCGCGCCGCUGCUGUUCGCGCUCUACUUAGUCACAAGAACCGUGGAGACGGUAGAGUCCCAGUAGCGCGGUGGUGGUGCGACCGCGCGAGGUGAAGAGGUACCGGGAGAUUCGGCUACUCGUACCCACUCGAGGGAUGGUGACGAGGGAGGUGGCGCAACCGUACUCGCCACGGACGAGGAGGGAUGCAACCUGUUGUGCGACGAGUCUAGACAGUACCACUUUAGAGGAGUAGAAAGGGCACCGUGAGGACACGAGUCACCUCCACUCCUACAAUCUAAAAAACCACACUCGAAAACGGGUUGAAGAACCCAGCUAAAAGAAAAGGACGAUGGUCUGGCGGUCGCUGGUACCGGAAACAUGGAAAAGGACAAGUACUCGAACCUCUCGACUUUGAAACGAUAAACACGGAUGGAAACCGGUGUUACAAAGAAUCGUUUAUAAGUAGUAGAAUGUAAAAUAUAUACUAUAAGAUAAAACGGUGAACUUUUGUUAUUCCCUCAUCUUAUUGAUCUUUUCUUCUUACUCCGAUCUGGGAAAACUUCCUUAGACGACAGGAUUGUUCCUUGUACAUUUCUCGUGAGGACCCUUUUUCUUCCUUUGUUGUUAGAACGUUUACUUAUUUCUUUGUUUUCGAACUAUUGUUUAAAAAGGUAAUCAUCAUUGUGGAGAGAAGUGUGUAUUAGACUAAAAGUUGUGAUAAUUAAUCCUAGAUGUACUAACCUCUGUGAUUCAGUAGUGUGACCAAUUGUGUUCAUUAAACACUCUCCUUGUGUUCACUUGAAAUGACAUGAAUAUAGACAAGUUAAAAGAGAGUCCUUUAGGAAAAAAUACUUGACUACCACCCCGAGUCGUCGUUUCCAUAUGUACACACCAUCGGCGAGAAAUGCAUAAAAAAAGGAUCAUGUAUAUGAAAGAGAAGAAUUGACCCCCGAAAAAGUUUUCCCUUCCUAGAGCACACAUUUUUAACCAACUGGAAUAAAAGAUAAGUAGGACUUACAUGACUUCACAGUUGUAAACACAUAACUAUUGAUUAGCAUUAUUAGAACUAUAUUCUAUAUAUAUGUGUGACUUCAGACUUUUGUACGAUCAUUUUGUUGAACGAACCUUUCGCUGUGAUGUAAAAUAUAACUUACUCUGACGGUGACGGUGUGGAAGCCAACGAUAUAUUUGUUACGUCAAUAACUCUUUUACCUCACCCUACAGUACGUUAACUUGACUCACGUUUAUAAAUCAAAAAAUAAUUUUAAUAGUCAUUUUCCUUCUCUGUCUUAAACAAUUACGUAAAUGCGGUAAAUCGAACAAGUUUAUAAAGAACCUCACUACAGUUGUCGUUCAGACUUAAUAUAGACUGGACGUCGGUAGCAGAGUAUAAAAACACACGAAAGGUAUGAAGACAAAUAGAAACAAUUCUAUUCAUACUCACCAUAAGAACACGUUAAAAGAAUUAGUCCGAAAACACACUCCCACGUAUAGAAGCCUUUUUUCUUACUGUUUUCCGUCCUCUUUCACUGUACCUGUUAUCUAAUCUUCUACGUUGCCGUCACACCCACUACCUUCUUCUUCUUGUCUCACAAUCUUCUAUAUUACUCUACUAUUCCAGAGCUUUACAAGUAAUAGAGCACCUUUAAUAAUUACGGAUACAUCGAACUCAAAGGCUGAACAACGUCUAAAGGGUUUCUAUGUGUUCAACUAGCUCCAAACCUUCUAGAUGUUCAACCUCGACCUCCAAACCUUCUGGAUGUUAAUUCAACGACAACAAUAUUACAUUAUACUGAACAAACAACUUGGACCUCUACCACCGUUCAUAAUGACAUGAGUAAAUCCACUAACAAAACCGUGUAUUCGGUGACAUACUAGUAAAACCAACACCGUGUAAAUCUUUGUAUUCAAUAAAAGGAAAACACCGUGUUGUAGGAAUAUACCAACUAAGUAUACAUAUACAUAGAUUUGUAUUCAUAAGCCAUACAUACAAAUAGUUUGCUUCAAAUUUUAAAACCUACUCCGGAUAUACAAUGAAACUAACUUCACUUAAAUAAUCAACACACAAUAAAGGA